UACAGGGGGGGCAAGCGUUGUCCGGAAUCAUUGGGCGUAAAGCGCGUGUAGGCGGCCCGGUAAGUCCGCUGUGAAAGUCCAGGGCUCAACCCUGGGAUGCCGGUGGAUACUGUCGGGCUCGAGUCCGGAAGAGGAGUGUGGAAUUCCUGGUGUAGCGGUGAAAUGCGCAGAUAUCAGGAGGAACACCAAUGGCGAAGGCAGCACUCUGGGACGUGACUGACGCUGAGACGCGAAAGCGUGGGGAGCAAACAGG
rnacentral:rRNA from 1 species